AGAGUUAAACAGUACGUGAAAUUGUUAAAAAGGAAACGCUUGAAACCAGUAUUGCUUGCAAAUAAUCAGCCUCAUCUUGUAUGAGGUGCACUUGUUUGUCGGCAGGUCAACAUCAGUUUGACUUGGGGUAAAAAGCCAGAAGAAGGUGAUCCAGGGUUUACUCUGGGUGUUAUAGCUUCUGGUCCUGCCUUGGGUUGGACUGUGGUUUGCAGCAUUUUUUGGGUACCCAGUCGCCUCUUGAACCCUUGGUGCAGACAGCUUGCUGACUGUUUCGAGACUUAUGGAGCCCGGUUGGUUUUCCACACCAAUGCUAAGGAUGCUGACGUAAUGGCUUUAAACGACC
rnacentral:rRNA from 1 species